GGGGUGUUUGAGCUACAAGGACCAUGGCACUAUGUAAGGAUCCUAAUGUCUAAUAGGAGAUUAAGGUGGCCACAGUACCAUGCUAUUAUGUGGAGUGUCUAGGAGUAGCUGAAGGGUUGGUAGUCGAAGGCACUAUCUAUGAUGCAUAGGGGCACCUGGGUAAGGUUUGUUCUUAGCUUUAUUCCUAUCUUUCUCAUGAC
rnacentral:lncRNA from 1 species